rnacentral:lncRNA from 1 species
AUUGUGGAUUUCAAUUUAUAUUCUGGUUUACAACUUAUAAAGAUAGUAUUUCAUUUAUAAUUCAGUUAAUUCUGCAAUCUCAAUGUUAUGACUAAAUUCAAUUUGUGGUAAAUACAUAUCCUGUAACUUUUCUAAAUGUUUUAAUAUGUUUAUAUAUCUUUAAGCUAUUUUAAAAUUUUGUAUAUUUUCAUCUAGUAUUAUUAAAGGUAAAUACCUAGUAUAGUGUACGAAAAAACAGCCUGUAUCACAUUAAAAGCAAUCAAGAGAAAUUAAAAUCAGAGUUAGGAUUAAUGAGUAACAUUUAUCCCAGCACCUUUCAAGAUUAUACACAGCUCCGUACUCAGUUUGUGGACAGCCUGAGCUCAUUUGGCCUUGUGUCAAAAGAAAGUGUGAAAACAGAAAAACUGAACACAUCCCUUCAACACAAAAGGAAUUGUAAGAAUAUGUAUUAUUUGUUGCAAUUUUAGAGUUAUCUCCUAAUAUUUCAUCAUUUGUGAUUCUCAAAUGUAAUUUGAUUUUUUUUGUUGGACAGUAAGAUAGCCAAAUACCAGAUCUACGAAAAGAACAUAAGGAUUGCAGCUUAAGGUGAAUGUAAUUUAACAGUGAAAUAUUCUCUAGAAGAGGGGUGUUGUAUUAUAAAUUAAAAAAAGAAACAAGUUGCCUUCUUGUAGACAUACUUUAGUUCAUACUAAAAGAGAUAGUUAAGAAAUUCCUGAUUAUGCAUAUGUUGUGUCAUUAAGGAAAUUAAUACUUUUGUAUCAUAAUAUGUAUUAUUUUACAGUAAUAAUUGAAGAUUUGUGCAAGUCAAUUAAACUAUACAUGCUUGGAAAUUGCCACAUGGGACCAUCUUGAAUGAACAGUUUAUGCAAACAGAAAACAUGUUCAGGAAGAAUGUUAAAAUUUUAACACUUGUAAAUAGAAAGAAGAUGACAUUUGCCUGUCUUUGUAAUUUAUGAGGGUAUUUGCAAAUAAGCAUCAAAACAAGAAGAAAAUAUUAAAAAGACAUUUUGUGCCAGGACAUCAUGGUAGUGCUGGAUUGCCUAUCCAACUCUGUAUAAAGGUUUUUCAAACAAUUUGUGAAGAAUGUUAGUAUCUUCAGAGUCUUCUGCAUCAGCAAAGAGUAGUGCAUUAACUAAUGGAAAAGAGAAGAUAAAAUUUCUGGUGCUCAUGAUGACUAGUCCGAACCUGUGAACUUCUGAGAAAAUUUACAGUUCUGAAAACUAGAGGUGGUUACCGAAUUGAAUAGCCGUUGGUUCUACAGCCACUAUAAUGAUCUGAAAAGUUGAAUGUGUUGCAUGAACACUUUCAGGAAUCAUAAUAGAACUCAGCUAAUUAGAUAGAGACUGGAAUGUUGAUUUGAAGACAAUUACUUUAUAAAGAUUUUCUCAUUGCUGCUUUUGCAUUAUCCCAAGAAGUGGAGACACUACUACAUGGAUAAGAACUGUAUGAUUGAAUUGACUUUGGAAUCAUCUCAGUAUUGUCAUAAGUAUGAAGUGUAUUUCAUGGUACUUUUGAAGUUAGUUAUAGAAUUUUUUCAAUUGAUUUUUCUAUUUUUCAAAGGGUUUAGGUAAUAUGUAGCAUAGUCUGACUUGAGUGGUAACAUUUUAGAAAUAUACCAGGUACUGUUAGGGCAAUAUUGUGUGAAGAUUUACUUUUAUAGUGCAUGCCAAAUUUUGGGUUUUCUGGUACAUUUUAUUGGAUUUUAUUUAUUAAUAUUUGUUAUAAGAGCAGCUGAUUAUGGGUUAAGAUGAUAGUAUUACAGUUAUGUGUCAAAAUUCUAUUACUUUGAACUACAUUGGCUUGGUAUAUCAAGUCUACAUUUGAUUAAAUGUAGACUUAGCAGGAUUAAUGAAUUUGGCCAUUAAAACUACAGGAAUUUUAGUCAACAUUCCUCUCAUAUUUGUGUAUUUAUGUAUGUAUGUAUGUAUGUACAGGAAUUUUAGUCAACAUUCCUCUCAUUUGUAUAUGUAUGUAUGUAUGUAUUUAUUUAUUUAUUUAUUAUCAAAUCAUGCUGUUCAUUUCUGCUCAUUGUUUGAGUUUCCAUGCUAAUUAUCUAUUAUUCAUAAGUACAUUUAUAAAUAAGUCUGUAAGCAGGUCAUCAUGUAUGUCAGAUAAAAUACUGUGUUUUCUACUCUCUGUUUUAUUACUAAGUUGUAUAUGAAUUAUGCAUUAAAUACAGAAUGUUCUCUCUU